rnacentral:rRNA from 1 species
CCUAAGGUAGCGAAAUUCCUUGUCGGGUAAGUUCCGACCCGCACGAAAGGCGUAAUGAUUUGGGCACUGUCUCAACGAGAGACUCGGUGAAAUUUUAGUACCUGUGAAGAUGCAGGUUACCCGCGACAGGACGGAAAGACCCCAUGGAGCUUUACUGUAGUUUGAUAUUGAGUACCUGUAAGUCAUGUACAGGAUAGGUAGGAGCCAUUGAAAUAGGGACGCUAGUUUCUAUUGAGGCGUUGUUGGGAUACUACCCUUGACUUAUGGUUACUCUAACCCGCUGGCAUAAUCGGCCAGGGAGACAGUGUCUGACGGACAGUUUGACUGGGGCGGUCGCCUCCUAAAGAGUAACGGAGGCGCUCAAAGGUUGGCUCAGAUUGGUUGGAAAUCAAUCGUAGAGUGUAAAGGUAAAAGCCAGCUUGACUGCGAGAGCUACAACUCGAGCAGGUAGGAAACUAGGACUUAGUGAUCCGGUG